UACCACAGUCAUAUCACCCUGCAGCCCAAGACUGGUUGCCCACUAAAGCUAAAGCAGGGUUGAGCCUGGUCAGUACCUGGAUGGGAGACCUCUUGAGAUGGUCCUCACUGCAGAAC
ensembl:rRNA 5S_rRNA 5S ribosomal RNA